UACGGAGGAUCCAAGCGUUAUCCGGAUUUAUUGGGUUUAAAGGGUGCGUAGGCGGCCUGUUAAGUCAGGGGUGAAAGACGGUAGCUCAACUAUCGCAGUGCCCUUGAUACUGACGGGCUUGAAUGAACUAGAGGUAGGCGGAAUGUGACAAGUAGCGGUGAAAUGCAUAGAUAUGUCACAGAACACCGAUUGCGAAGGCAGCUUACUAUGGUUUAUUGACGCUGAGGCACGAAAGCGUGGGGAUCAAACAGG
rnacentral:rRNA from 1 species